rnacentral:rRNA from 1 species
GAUGAACGCUGGCGGCGUGCCUAAUACAUGCAAGUCGAGCGAACGGACGAGAAGCUUGCUUCUCUGAUGUUAGCGGCGGACGGGUGAGUAACACGUGGAUAACCUACCUAUAAGACUGGGAUAACUUCGGGAAACCGGAGCUAAUACCGGAUGAUAUUCUGAACCGCAUGGUUCAAAAGUGAAAGACGGUCUUGCUGUCACUUAUAGAUGGAUCCGCGCUGCAUUAGCUAGUUGGUAAGGUAACGGCUUACCAAGGCAACGAUGCAUAGCCGACCUGAGAGGGUGAUCGGCCACACUGGAACUGAGACACGGUCCAGACUCCUACGGGAGGCAGCAGUAGGGAAUCUUCCGCAAUGGGCGAAAGCCUGACGGAGCAACGCCGCGUGAGUGAUGAAGGUCUUCGGAUCGUAAAACUCUGUUAUUAGGGAAGAACAUAUGUGUAAGUAACUGUGCACAUCUUGACGGUACCUAAUCAGAAAGCCACGGCUAACUACGUG